CCCUUAGAUGUUCUGGGCUGCACGCGCGCUACACUGAUACUUUCAGCGAGUCCACCACCUUGCCUGGGAGGGUGGGGUAACCUCUGGAAAGUGCAUCGUGAUGGGGAUCGAUUAUUGUAAUUAUUAAUCUUCAACGAGGAAUUCCUAGUAAGCAUGUGUCAUCAGCCCGUGCUGAUUACGUCCCUGCCCUUUGUACACACCGCCCGUCGCUCCUACCGAUUGAGUGGUCCGGUGAGGCUUUGGGAUCUGAGCGGAAAGAGCGUUUCGCUGUUUCUGCCCGGAAAACUCAGUCGAACCUUAUCAUUUAGAGGAAGGAGAAGUCGUAACA
rnacentral:rRNA from 1 species